rnacentral:rRNA from 1 species
ACUUGGAUAUGGAUUCUUCACGGCAACGUAACUGAAUGUGGAGACGUCGGCGUGAGCCCUGGGAGGAGUUCUCUNUUCUUCUUAACAGCUUAUCACCCUGGAAUUGGUUUAUCCGGAGAUAGGGUNUUAUGGCUGGAAGAGUGCAAUACUUUUGUUGCAGCCGGUGCGCUUACGACGGUCCUUGAAAAUCCACAGGAAGGAAUAGUUUUCAUGCCAAGUCGUACU